GAUGAAGAACGUAGCGAAAUGCGAUACGUAAUGUGAAUUGCAGAAUUCAGUGAAUCAUCGAGUCUUUGAACGCACAUUGCGCCCCCUGGUAUUCCGGGGGGCAUGCCUGUCCGAGCGUCAUUGCUGCCCUCAAGCACGGCUUGUGUGUUGGGCCUCCGUCCUCCUCCCGGGGGACGGGCCCGAAAGGCAGCGGCGGCACCGCGUCCGGUCCUCGAGCGUAUGGGGCUUCGUCACCCGCUCUUGUAGGCCCGGUCGGCGCUUGCCGACACAUCAAUCUUUUUUCCAGGUUGGCCUCGGAUCAGGUAGGGAUACCCGCUGAACUUAAGCAUAUCAAUAAGCGGAGGA
rnacentral:misc_RNA from 1 species